ACGUAUAAUUUUUAUGAUAUAAAUCAAAUAUUUUUUUAACUUUUUAAUCUUCUGAGUAUUAGAUAUGCCCCAGCAUUUUCAUAUUAUAUUAAAAGAAAUUAUGGAACCUCUAUCUACUGAGCUUGAGCAUUUGAGAUCAAUUUAAAUAAAAAUAUUUAAUGAUGAAUCUCUUAUUGAAUGUGAAUCAUUUGUUUAAUAAUAUUAUAUUUGUUGGGGG
rnacentral:lncRNA from 1 species